UUACAUCAGCAGUCAUCCAUGUGAUAGCGUGCGGCUAGUGCCCCCCUGCCAGGCACUCAAUUGGACAUCCUCCAAAACUUGGUGGCUAAUACACGUCUGCCCCGGUCUGCCAUGACAUACCUGCUUGGGGUAUCGGUCCUCGGACCACACCCCCGGAUGGUGGAUUGCACCCAGCUGCUGUGAAGACCAGCGCCAGGGAAUGGCAGUGUGUCUGGUUGACUCAGGCUGGUCCCUUUGAGGACGGAUGUGCUGGCAGAGUGGUGGCCUCGGCCACGAAUGCACUGCUUGAUCACACGAACUUCUGACCUAUCAGCCUUGACUGUGGUGUAGUGGACCACAGUGGCCCUCACGGGUAACGGAGAAUCUGGGUUCGAUUCCGGAGAGGGAGCCUGAGAAACGGCUACCACUGCCAAGGCGGGCAGCAGGCGCGCAAAUUGCCCAAUGCCAAAGCAAUCGGCGAGGCAGCAACGAUCAGCAGCAAUUCUGCCAGUACCUGUUGC
rnacentral:rRNA from 1 species